CGGAGGAUCCAAGCGUUAUCCGGAAUCAUUGGGUUUAAAGGGUCCGUAGGCGGUUUAGUAAGUCAGUGGUGAAAGCCCAUCGCUCAACGGUGGAACGGCCAUUGAUACUGCUGAACUUGAAUUAUUAGGAAGUAACUAGAAUAUGUAGUGUAGCGGUGAAAUGCUUAGAGAUUACAUGGAAUACCAAUUGCGAAGGCAGGUUACUACUAAUGGAUUGACGCUGAUGGACGAAAGCGUGGGUAGCGAACAGGAUUAGAUACCCUGGUAGUCCACGCCGUAAACGAUGGAUACUAGCUGUUGGGGGCAACUUCAGUGGCUAAGCGAAAGUGAUAAGUAUCCCACCUGGGGAGUACGUUCGCAAGAAUG
rnacentral:rRNA from 1 species